GCGUUAAUCGCUCACAUCGAAUGACGGCCGUCGUCGCCUCGAGACGUCGUAUCCUCUGGGUGCGUCGUUCUCGUUCAACGUCGGCGUCUGUGAGGAAUGC
rnacentral:misc_RNA from 1 species